GUCUCAGUUAGUGAGGUCAGUCAUGUUUUGGAGAGGAAUAGUGACUCCAAUGACUGCUGGGGCUUGUGUCACAUCUGAGAUGUGAAAGAGACAGAGUGGGAGGGUGAAGAGAUGGGGUCAGAGAGAGGUAGCGAGAGAGAGGUAGAGAGAGAGCCAGAGGUAGAGAGAAAGAGGGGUAGAGAGGUAGAGAGAGCCAGAGAGAGAGAGAGAGAGAGGGGUAGAGAGAGCCAGAGAGAGAGAGAGAGCCAGGGGGAGAGAGAGAGGGGUAGAGAGGUAGAGAGAGAGAGGGGUAGAGAGGUAGAGAGAGAGCCAGAGGGAGAGAGGGGUAGAGAGGUGGAGAGAGAGCCAGAGGUAGAGAGAGAGCCAGAAGGAGAGAGAGACAAAGAGCAUAGAAUAUGACAUAUCUAAAGGUAUAAACAGACAGACAGAGAAAGA
ensembl:lncRNA